GAUGAACGCUAGCUACAGGCUUAACACAUGCAAGUCGAGGGGAAACGACAUCGAAAGCUUGCUUUUGAUGGGCGUCGACCGGCGCACGGGUGAGUAACGCGUAUCCAACCUGCCCACCACUUGGGGAUAACCUUGCGAAAGUAAGACUAAUACCCAAUGAUAACUCUAGAAGACAUCUGAAAGAGAUUAAAGAAUUAUCGGUGAUGGAUGGGGAUGCGUCUGAUUAGCUUGUUGGCGGGGUAACGGCCCACCAAGGCAACGAUCAGUAGGGGUUCUGAGAGGAAGGUCCCCCACAUUGGAACUGAGACACGGUCCAAACUCCUACGGGAGGCAGCAGUGAGGAAUAUUGGUCAAUGGACGAGAGUCUGAACCAGCCAAGUAGCGUGCAGGAUGACGGCCCUAUGGGUUGUAAACCGCUUUUAUAAGGGAAUAAAGUGAGUCUCGUGAGGCUUUUUGCAUGUACCUUAUGAAUAAGGACCGGCUAAUUCCGUGCCAGCCGCCGCAGUAA
rnacentral:rRNA from 1 species